AACGCGUGGGAACGUACCCAAUGGUUCGGAAUAACUACGGGAAACUGUAGCUAAUACUGGAUAAGCCCUAAGGGGGAAAGAUUUAUCGCCAAUGGAGCGGCCCGCGUUAGAUUAGGUAGUUGGUAGGGUAAUGGCCUACCAAGCCGACGAUCUAUAGCUGGUCUGAGAGGAUGACCAGCCACACUGGGACUGAGACACGGCCCAGACUCCUACGGGAGGCAGCAGUGGGGAAUAUUGGACAAUGGGGGCAACCCUGAUCCAGCAAUGCCGCGUGAGUGAUGAAGGCCUUCGGGUUGUAAAGCUCUUUUGUCAGGGACGAUGAUGACGGUACCUGACGAAUAAGCCCCGGCUAACUUCGUGCCAGCAGCCGCGGUAAUACGAAGGGGGCUAGCGUUGUUCGGAAUUACUGGGCGUAAAGGGCGCGUAGGCGGUCUAAUAAGUCAGAUGUGAAAGCCCCGAGCUUAACUUGGGAACUGCAUUUGAUACUGUUAGACUAGAGAGUGAGAGAGGAAAGUGGAAUUGCGAGUGUAGAGGUGAAAUUCGUAGAUAUUCGCAGG
rnacentral:rRNA from 1 species